rnacentral:rRNA from 1 species
GCGCCCGGGCUUCGGCUUGGGGGUUGUCUGCAUGCGGCUCCUCACUCUCUACCCUUGCUUAUUUGUACCCUCUCGUUGUUUCCUCGGCGGGUCCUGACCUGCCGGUGGGAAUUCGAUAAACCUCCUGCAGUAGUAUCCAAUCAUUCUGAUCAAAAGUAUUAAAUCGUUACAACUUUCAACAAUGGAUCUCUUGGUUCUGGCAUCGAUGAAGAACGCAGCGAAAUGCGAUAAGUAGUGUGAAUUGCAGAAUUCAGUGAAUCAUCGAAUCUUUGAACGCACAUUGCGCCCCUUGGUAUUCCAUGGGGCAUGCCUGUUCGAGCGUCAUUUGCACCCUCAAGCACUGCUUGGUGUUGGGCGUCUGUCCUCUAGCGACUACCGCGUGGACUCGUCCCAAAGGCAUUGGCAGCGGUCCUGCCGGGCCUCCUAAUCGCGCAGCACUGUUCGCGCUUCCUGGAGCCUCCGCGGAUUCGGCGUCCAUCAAGCCCAAUCUUCUGAACUUGACCUCGGAUCAGGUAGGGAUACCCGCUGAACUUAAGCAUAUCAAUAAGCGGA